rnacentral:lncRNA from 1 species
UUCCAUUUCCUUGGCAGUUCUGCAUCUGUGUUAUGACAGGACAUGUGUUGUUGGUGUACACUGGUCCUGAAGAAUCAUAAAACCAACUUCCGUGGUAUAGAUCACAACCUACAAAAAAACAUAAUCAAGUUACAGAUUAGAGACUCUAGAAAAUGAGUAUGGAGGAUCGGAAUUAGACGUUAAAAAUAAAUUUAUAAGUAUGCAAAAUUAUGAAUUCUGCUUCUACUUCAGAAAUGACAUAUUAGUGACUGAUCAACUGCAUCCAUAUCUUAAUAAUGCUUUUCAAUUUCUAACUGUAUUAUUUACUUGGCAUGUUAUAGUCACUUAAUUUAUUUCCAUCAGUAUGUAUUAUUUACUUAGCAUGUUAUAGUCACUUAAUUUAUUUCCAUCAGUAUGUAUUAUUUACUUAGCAUGUUAUAGUCACUUAAUUUAUUUCCAUCAGUAUGUAUUAUUUACUUAGCAUGUUAUAGUCACUUAAUUUAUUUCCAUCAGUAUACCAUCAAGGCUAAUCUUAUACAGCUUAGCAAGUUGCAUCAUCAAUAAAUGCAGAACAUUCUUUCAGCUAGUUACACACUCCUAAACCAUAUUUGGCUGAUGAUAAGCCACAAAAAUGGUAGGCAGAUGCAGCAUCUCAAGGAAACUUUUCCCUCUUUUGGCUCUCUACUGGAAGAAUUUUGUACCCAUAUAAAGGCAAUGAUAAAACUGUGCUCGUUAGUCACUUGAGAAGUACAUUGUUGUUACAUAUAAUAAGUGUUAUAGCAAGUUACCAUAUUUGAGACUUUACUAAAGAGGUAAACAUAAUGAAUCAAUAUCCUCAUAUACAAGUUGUCAGAAAAGAAAGUUUCCAAAAUUGAAGCAAAUCCAAACACAACUGGAACAAUAAUCAUAUCCUAAAAACAAAUAAGAUUAUCACAAUAAGUUCAAUAGAUAUACCUGAUGCAACAAAAUCAAUCUGGGUGUUAUUGUUGGAGGGAGGUGGAGAAGGUAAAGCAGGCAUUGCCAAUUUUGCUAAGUUAUUGGUAUUGUUCGAU